rnacentral:rRNA from 1 species
AUUGAACGCUGGCGGCGCGCUUAACACAUGCAAGUCGAUCGGUAACGCGGGGGCAACCCUGGCGACGAGAGGCGGACGGGUGAGGAACGCUUGGGAAUCUGCCUAUCAGCGGGGGACAACCAGGGGAAACUCGGGCUAAUACCGCAUACGCUCUACGGAGGAAAGGCGGGGACCGCAAGGCCUGGCAAUGAUAGGUGAGCCCAAGGCGGAUUAGCUAGUUGGCGGGGUAACGGCCCACCCAGGCGACGAUCCGUAGCUGGUCUGAGAGGGCGAUCAGCCACACUGGGACUGAGACACGGCCCAGACUCCUACGGGAGGCAGCAGUGGGGAAUCUUGGACAAUGGGCGCAAGCCUGAUCCAGCCAUGCCGCGUGAGUGAAGAAGGUCUUCGGAUUGUAAAGCUCUUUUGCCAGGGACGAUAAUGACGGUACCUGGAGAAUAAGCCCCGGCAAACUUCGUGCCAGCAGCCGCUGUAACAC